rnacentral:rRNA from 2 species
AGGUGCGAUCAUACCAACACUAAUGCACCGGAUCCCAUCAUGCUUGGGCGAGAGUAGUACUAGGAUGGGUGACCUCCUGGGAAGUCCUUGUAUUGCACCUC